CCCACACUCUUGCUAUUUAGCCUGCUUACCUAAUACAUUAUUAGUUCGAUAUAUAUCUUGGAAUCUGCCAUGUGCAAGUCUCUGUGCUGUGAAGGAGAAAAAGCAUUUUCCCACAACGGAUCUACCAGAAGAGAGGACAAAUAUACAGAAAACUACAAGAUGUGAUAGAAAGGGACACUAAUAUCAAAGAGACAAGCAGGGGAGGAGCUGUUCCUUCUGGCCGGGGGAUUCCCAGAGGAUCUCACAUGGAGGUAAAUAUUGGGACGAGGCAGUUCUAAAGGUCAGAUAUUUGCAGCGUGAGCCAGGGUGUGUGUGUGGGUGGUGAGGAUAGGGAAGGCACUCCGGGGAAGGCAGAGGUUGGGGAUUUGUUGAGGCAUGCAUGGGGAAAUGAAAGUUUUCCUUAGCUGGACCAUGGGACAUAUGAACAGAACAGUGGACAAAGAUACUGAGGGACAGAUGAGCUCUGAGGACGGCCAAUCAGCCUCAGCGCUCGCCCUGCCCCAGCGCCUCCCAGAGCCAAUGCCAUGAAGCUGACAGAAUGUCUACUUUACUUGGGGCCACAGAGCAAGAAGCUGAAGCGUCAUGGGCUCCCCCAGCCUAAGGAGACGUGACAACGGAGUGCAACAUGUGACUCAGGAUUGGACCCCGGACCAGAAAAAGACAAGUAAUGGAACCACUGAUGAGAUAUGAAUAGGGUCGAUAGUGUAGAUGAGAAGUAUCGGAGCAAUGUUAAUUUUCUGAUUUGGUCAUUGUAGUGUGGCUUGGGAAGAUGGUAGCAUUUGGGGAAUCCGAUGAGGGGAAUUCUUUGUACUAUUUUUGCGACCUUUUUGUAAGUCUGAAAUUAUUUUCAAUUGAAAAGUUAAGAAAUAAAGAAUGUAAAUUAAC
rnacentral:lncRNA from 12 species